CUCCAUGUGACUGCAGUUAGUUUCCUCACGUAGAUACCAACUUUGAUUUACCAUUGCCUUAUUGUGGCAGGGAAUCUCUACUCUUGGGUAAGGGUAAAUUAUACCUUUCUAGAUGUGUUAUUUCACUCGUAAAAUUUCCUACUUUUCAUGAAUUUGUUUAUAACUCAGUGUUUGGGUCAACCUUAUCCGCAAUUCGACUAAUUAUACUGUACUUUGCCGUGACAUAAAAUAGCCCCUGAUGGAAGACUUACUAGUUCUUUAACAAAGGCGACGCAAGGAGGAGCAGGAGGAGGAGAAGAGUUGACUGGAGGAAGAGCAAAAGCAACGUGAGGAGGAACAAAGGCGACAUGUGAGGAGGAACAAAGACUUGUCCUCUUGUUGGUGAAAUGCUUGAAAAGGUCAAGAUCGGAGGAUGAUGGGGGCAUAACCAUUUGAAGGAAGUUAGAGUUCGUGAAUUUUGUGGGAGCGAGUCUCAAAUCAAGUUUGCUAUGCACUUGGUGAAAAAAGCUAUCGAUUCUUGAACAAAUGGUAGUGUGACCAUUAGAGUGAAUCUUGUUUUUUGGUCAUCCGUUUAUUGAAGUGGAACUUUUUAGUAUUUUGCGGUCUAAGGGUUUGAAUACAUUUUGUUACGAAACCUAGAUUUUUUUAUUUUUCCAUUGUGGUUGGACGCAUUAUUUUGCGCUCUAGGAAUUUGGAUACAAGUUGUUUAAGUAUUUGUUGGACACAUCUACUUUUUCGCUUGUAUUUAUUUAAUGGAAUUUUUAUUUUGUAUUAAUUGCA